rnacentral:rRNA from 1 species
ACCCGCACAAGCGGUGGAUGAUGUGGUUUAAUUCGAUGCAACGCGAAAACCUUACCCACCUUUGACAUGUACGGAAUCCUUUAGAGAUAGAGGAGUGCUCGAAAGAGAGCCGUAACACAGGUGCUGCAUGGCUGUCGUCAGCUCGUGUCGUGAGAUGUUGGGUUAAGUCCCGCAACGAGCGCAACCCUUAUCAUUAGUUGCUACGCAAGGGCACUCUAAUGAGACUGCCGGUGACAAACCGGAGGAAGUGGGGAUGACGUCAAGUCCUCAUGGCCCUUAUGGGUAGGGCUUCACACGUCAUACAAUGGUCGGUACAGAGGGUUGCCAAGCCGCGAGGCGGAGCCAAUCCCACAAAGCCGAUCGUAGUCCGGAUUGUUCUCUGCAACUCGAGAGCAUGAAGUCGGAAUCGCUAGUAAUCGCAGGUCAGCAUACUGCGGUGAAUACGUUCCCGGGUCUU